rnacentral:rRNA from 1 species
CACGGCGCACGGGUGCGUAACACGUGGGUAACCUGCCCUCCAAAGGGGGAUAACCCGCCGAAAGGCGGGCUAAUACCGCAUGACAUUCCGGUGGCUUCGGCCGCUGGAAUCAAAGCCCGCAAGGGCGUUGGGGGAGGGGCCCGCGGCCGAUUAGCUUGUUGGCGAGGUAACGGCUCACCAAGGCUUUGAUCGGUAGCCGGUCUGAGAGGAUGGCCGGCCACACUGGAACUGAGACACGGUCCAGACUCCUACGGGAGGCAGCAGUGGGGAAUCUUGCGCAAUGGGCGAAAGCCUGACGCAGCGACGCCGCGUGGGGGAUGAAGCUUCUCGGAGUGUAAACCCCUUUCGACCCGGACGAAUGCCCCGCAAGGGGACUGACGGUACGGGUAUAAGAAGCCCCGGCUAACUACGUGCCAGCAGCCGCGGUAAGACGUAGGGGGCCAGCGUUGCUCGGAAUUACUGGGUGUAAAGGGUUCGUAGGCGGUGUGGCAAGUCGGGAGUGAAAUCUCUGGGCCCAACCCAGAGGCUGCUUCCGAAACUGCUGUGCUUGAGUGUGGGAGAGGCGCGUGGAAUUGCAGGUGUAGCGGUGAAAUGCGUAGAUAUCUGCAGGAACACCCGUGGCGAAAGCGGCGCGCUGGACCACAAC